rnacentral:rRNA from 1 species
GAGUUUGAACCUGGCUCAGGAUGAACGCUGGCGGCGUGCUUAACACAUGCAAGUCGAACGAAGCAGCAUGGAACGAAUCUUCGGAGGAGGGAAAUGGUGACUGAGUGGCGGACGGGUGAGUAACGCGUGGGUAACCUGCCUCGUACAGGGGGACAACAGUUGGAAACGACUGCUAAUACCGCAUAAGCGCACGAUACUGCAUGGUAUUGUGUGAAAAACUGAGGUGGUACGAGAUGGACCCGCGUCUGAUUAGCUGGUUGGUGGGGUAACGGCCUACCAAGGCAACGAUCAGUAGCCGACCUGAGAGGGUGACCGGCCACAUUGGGACUGAGACACGGCCCAAACUCCUACGGGAGGCAGCAGUGGGGAAUAUUGCACAAUGGGGGAAACCCUGAUGCAGCGACGCCGCGUGAAGGAAGAAGUAUUUCGGUAUGUAAACUUCUAUCAGCAGGGAAGAAAAUGACGGUACCUGAGUAAGAAGCCCCGGCUAACUACGUGCCAGCAGCCGCGGUAAUACGUAGGGGGCAAGCGUUAUCCGGAUUUACUGGGUGUAAAGGGAGCGUAGACGGUAAUGUAAGUCUGAUGUGAAAGCCCGGGGCUCAACCCCGGGACUGCAUUGGAAACUAUGUAACUAGAGUACCGGAGAGGUAAGCGGAAUUCCUAGUGUAGCGGUGAAAUGCGUAGAUAUUAGGAGGAACACCAGUGGCGAAGGCGGCUUACUGGACGGAAACUGA